rnacentral:rRNA from 1 species
UACGGAGGGUGCAAGCGUUAAUCGGAAUUACUGGGCGUAAAGCGCACGCAGGCGGUCUGUCAAGUCGGAUGUGAAAGCCCCGGGCUCAACCCGGGAGGGUCGUGGCAAACCGGCGGGCUUGAGGCCGGUAGAGGUGGGUGGAACUCCUGGUGGAGUGGUGAAAUGCGUAGAGAUCAGGAAGAACACCCGUGGCGAAGGCGGCCCACUGGGCCGGUACUGACGCUGAGGCGCGAAGGCGUGGGGAGCGAACAGG